rnacentral:lncRNA from 1 species
UGUGCAAGAGAUGAACUAGCUGCCCCAUGCGAUGGCAAACGGAAGCUGAUGAAUUCUGCUUGGGCAAACAGAAGCCAACAGGUCUUAAAAGAGCAACAAAUGUAUUCUUGCAUGCCGCUGGUAAACACAGUGUUUGGACCCAGCUCUGUCUGUGCCACUGCUGCAUAUUUCUGAUGGGCUCUCUGCUGAAGCGUGAUGGAGUUCGAAGGCGCGGAGGAAAAGACGCUCUGAUUUGUGCUGGAUGGCCCAAAGAGAGACCCGCCAGGACUGCUCACCCGUUCCUGCAGCUUUCUUCUCUUAUGCUCAGAUCCAACUUGCUACAGAUUUCUCAAAGGCAGAAGUCUCACUGAAAUUAAGAUGAGUUUAAAUUAUCU